rnacentral:lncRNA from 12 species
AUGCCGCUAAGCACCACGGGCGUCCUGAGCUCCUCCUCCACCACUUCCAACAGGUCGAGGAACCGGACUCGCUAUCGGACCAAAGCCGUGAGCUCCGAGGUGGAUGAGAGCCUCUUUGGAGGUGCCAAGGUAAUGCUCGCCAGCACCCCCCACCCCGAGAGCCGGGCCCUGGAGGCAGUGACCCAGGCUGGAGUCGCUCAGGGUGACGCUAGCACGGGGCAGGCCGUCCCCUCUCCCGGGUGGCUCUCUGAGGGAGACCGAGCAGCUGGACCCACCCAGUGGGGCCCAGGUGAACAGGGGUGCCUGGCUCUCUCCACCCCUGCAACCUUCAUUUAAAAUCUGUGGUAGCAUCGAGGGGGGCUCUGCUGCAGGGAGCAGAUGGCUGCCCAGUGGGUGCCCCAGGAUGAAAACGUUUGAGGGCUGCCAACCGAGCUCGUGGACGACCCUCCGUCCAAGCGCAGCAUCGGAGCAAACCACAGGUCCUCCGGGGUGCGUUGGCUUUGGGAACCCCCAGCAGGUCUUCACGGGCAGUGUUGUCCCCACUGGGAGGCCGACAGCAUAUUCCGGGCAGAGAAGGGGGGCUAGCUAGAGCACGCCCCGAAAUGUUCCAUCACACGGCAGGUGCAGAAGGUAGGGAGACAAGGACAGAACGGGAAGGGGACGUGGAGAGAGCACAGCGAGAGACAGAGGGACAAAGGGGGGGACGGGAAAGACGCCAGAAGCCGUGGGAGCGCUGGGUGCACCCCUCUGAGGCGGGCAGGCGGCAGGAGCCGAGCGGACGUGUGUGCUCCUCCCUGUCCUCGCCCUGAGCCCAAGAGGACUUUCCAGGGGCACCUGGGUGUUGGGUCGGCUGAGCGUCCAACUCCUGGUUUGGGCUCCGGUGUGAUCUCAGGGUUGUGAGAUCGAGCCCACCUCCUCCCUCCUCCAGCUCCGCCUGGCGGGUCUGCUUGGGGAUCCCGUCUCCCUCUCCCAAUGCCUCGGCCCUCACUCCAGUCGCCCGUCUCUCUCUCUCCCUCUCUCUCUCGUAAAUAAAUAAAUCUUAAACAAACA